UCCAUCUAGUUCUGUAAAAGGGUUGUAUCCGACGCCUUUCGGAGGCUACUAUAGGCUCUCCUUCUCAACCCCUACUCAAUACGUCCACGACGUGCAGAACGGUAACUUGGCGCC
rnacentral:ribozyme from 1 species